CAGCAGCCACGGUAAUACAGAGGAUGCAAGCGUUAUCCGGAAUGAUUGGGCGUAAAGCGUCUGUAGGUGGCUUUUCAAGUCAGUCGUCAAAUCCCUGGGCUCAACCCUGGACAAGCAGUGGAAACUACCAAGCUGGAGUAUAGUAGGGGCAGAGUGAAUUUCCGGUGGAGCGAUGAAAUGCGUUGAGAUCAGAAAGAACACCAACGGCGAAAGCACUCUGCUGGGCCGACACUGACACUGAGAGACGAAAGCUAGGGGAGCAAAUGGGAUUAGAUACCCGCGUAGUCCCUGUCUCUUAUAC
rnacentral:rRNA from 1 species